GGUCUUCGCUGAAGCCUUCCCUUCACCACCUGGCGCGUCAUCGUGUGACCUCCACGCUGUGCCCACGCUGACGCAGCUCCUCGGGGGCCGAGCCGGACAGGACCAGAGGCUCCUGGAUCGUUUCCAUGACCUGAACAAAAUGAUCGGACGGAGCUACAGGAGAGCCAGCAGGGCGUCUCGUGACCUUCGGCUGAAGACGCUACACCUCCAGCAGCCCGCCGCGGAAGGCAGAGCUGCUGCGUGGACGUCAAACGGCCAUCUCUCCCCGGGCCUCCCCUCAGCCAAUCAGCACGCUCCUCACGCAGCCGCCAAGCGACGCCUGUCGUACGACUACAACCGAAACACGGUGGAGUGACUCGCCGGCGUCACCGGACCGCAGGAUCCGAAGACGACCGACAGAGCUCUCACGUUUCUACACUUUGCACACUUCCUGGUUGUUCCAAGCUGAAUCUGAUGUUUCAGAAGACUGGACGGGCACCGGCGUCCUGCACGUGUGUCCACCGUCCUGUUUGGACUUGAACCUUCAGACGCGUCAGAGCAUGAAGACUUGUAGCUCCGUGGUUCUCGCCGCCAUGUUGAAGGAGCUCGAGCUGAUAUUUGAAGAUAUUUCACAGAACAGUCAUCGCCCAGUCGUUGUGCUUCAAAAUCUUUAUCAGCAAAAAAUAUCUUCUUGCACUGAUUCACCUUAAUUUAUACAAAAACACAUAA